UACGUAGGUGGCAAGCGUUGUCCGGAUUUACUGGGCGUAAAGGGUGCGCAGGCGGCCAAGUGUGUGAGGCGUGAAAGCCCGGGGCUUAACCCCGGAAUUGCACCUCAAACUACAUGGCUAGAGCAUUGGAGAGGGUAGCGGAAUUCACGGUGUAGCAGUGAAAUGCGUAGAUAUCGUGAGGAACACCAGAGGCGAAGGCGGCUACCUGGACAAUUGCUGACGCUCAGGCACGAAAGCGUGGGGAGCAAAAGGG
rnacentral:rRNA from 1 species